ACCCACAGAUUUUCAGUCCCUCCAGGAUUUCGUGGGACUUUUUUCAGAUUUUUGCGGCCUAAAAUUACCAAUUUUGCUGCGGCUUUUC